rnacentral:lncRNA from 7 species
AGAAGAACCCAAGGCAAGCGGGGCAGCAGGCCGGCCCAGAUCAGCCCAAUGCUGCAAACUGAAGCCCACCAGCAGCCGCACCAGGCAGGCGGUGGGACCCGGGCGGCGUUGGCUCGUUGCACGAAGAGGCGUAGCUGUCGCCGGCUGCGCUGCUCCUCUCUCUCUCUCC